CGGAGGGUGCAAGCGUUAAUCGGAAUUACUGGGCGUAAAGCGCACGCAGGCGGUCUGUCAAGUCGGAUGUGAAAUCCCCGGGCUCAACCUGGGAACUGCAUUCGAAACUGACAGGCUAGAGUCUUGUAGAGGGGGGUAGAAUUCCAGGUGUAGCGGUGAAAUGCGUAGAGAUCUGGAGGAAUACCGGUGGCGAAGGCGGCCCCCUGGACAAAGACUGACGCUCAGGUGCGAAAGCGUGGGGAGCAAACAGGAUUAGAUACCCUGGUAGUCCACGCUGUAAACGAUGUCGACUUGGAGGUUGUUCCCUUGAGGAGUGGCUUCCGGAGCUAACGCGUUAAGUCGACCGCCUGGGGAGUACGGCCGCAAGGUUA
rnacentral:rRNA from 1 species